rnacentral:tRNA from 1 species
AGUAAAAUGGCUGAAUUUUAAGUAAUAAAUUGUAAAUUUAUUUAUAGGAUGAAUAUCCUUUUUACUA